rnacentral:sRNA from 1 species
GACGUCGAAGGAACGACGCAGGCUGACCAAGGAUGGCAGCUAAGGGAAAGUCGCAGGAUAAGCGGCUACUUCGUCAGGAUGACGAGCACACGGACGGAAGGAAACAUGAACGGCGAGGCUAACCCCCUCGCCGUUUUUGU